GACGAACCGUGCGAACGUUGUUCGGAUUCACUGGGCUUAAAGGGCGCGUAGGCGGACCCGCCAGUCUGGGGUGAAAUCUUUCGGCUUAACCGGAAAAUCGCCUGGGAUACUGCGGGCCUGGAGGGAGGUAGGGGCAUGCGGAACUUCCGGUGGAGCGGUGAAAUGCGUUGAUAUCGGAAGGAACUCCGGUGGCGAAAGCGGCGUGCUGGACCUCUUCUGACGCUGAGGCGCGAAAGCCAGGGGAGCAAACGGGAUUAGAAACCCCCGUAGUCC
rnacentral:rRNA from 1 species